UUCAGGUACAACCACACAUCCUUUCAGGCCUGGAGACAAAGUCUUGGUGAAAUCCCUCUUCAAAUCCGGAACCUUUGAUCCACCAUACAGCCCUCUGACAACCGUUGUUGCCAUCACCAGAAGAGCCGUUCUGACCGAGGAGAACCAGAUGUAGAUUCAUGCAAGCAGAUAAAAAAGAUGUCCCACAUCAAGCACUCUGGAUAUUCCAAGCAAAGAACGAUCAACCUCAGACUGAUCCAGAAUGAACAAUAGUGCUCGGUGCAACCUAAUUAUUCUUCUUUCCAUGGGACUUGGUUAUGCGCUGAUUAAUUUUAUUUGAUCCCAAAGAACAGUGAUAGUAAAAUUUGUUAUUAAUAUAUUUCACUCUAAGCAGGCUUUAUCUUCUUCAUCAUGGGAAACAGACAAUCAUUUUAUUGGAUCUGUAAAGAAUUUAUACCAAGCCCUAAAUUUAAAUAAUUGUUUAAUAAACCUUAAUUCGUCCAGGAGGGAGGGACAGUCUUAUUAUAGCCAUGGCUCCCCGGAGAUUUUCUUCAGAAAUAACGGUUCUGAAGUUUUUUUUCUUCCCUGAGUGCUAUAAUAGACAAUCAAUUAAUUUAC